CACGUAGUUAGCCGUGGCUUUCUGAUUAGGUACCGUCAAGACGUGCAUAGUUACUUACACAUUUGUUCUUCCCUAAUAACAGAGUUUUACGAUCCGAAGACCUUCUUCACUCACGCGGCGUUGCUCCGUCAGGCUUUCGCCCAUUGCGGAAGAUUCCCUACUGCUGCCCCCCGUAGGAGUCUGGACCGUGUCUCAGUUCCAGUGUGGCCGAUCACCCUCUCAGGUCGGCUACGCAUCGUUGCCUUGGUAAGCCGUUACCUUACCAACUAGCUAAUGCGGCGCGGAUCCAUCUAUAAGUGACAGCAAGACCGUCUUUCACUGUUGAACCAUGCGGUUCAACAUGUUAUCCGGUAUUAGCCUCCGGUUUCCCGAAGUUAUCCCAGUCUUAUAGGUAGGUUAUCCACGUGUUACUCACCCGUCCGCCACUAACGUCAAAGGAGCAAGCUCCUCGUCUGUUCGCUCGUACUGCAGUGUAGUUACGGCACGCCGCCAGUCGUUCACUCUCGACGCCGAGGACUAA
rnacentral:rRNA from 1 species